UGGUUUGGUAAAUCUUUUGUGAAAUCAUGGAGCCUAACUUCAUGGCGUGCAGAGGAGACUGCCAAACUUGAGACCGGGAGGAGCCUGAGGUAUUCAAGGGGGAGCGGUAAAAUGCUAUAAUCCCUUGAGGACCACCUGUGGCGAAGGCGUCAGGCUAGAACGGAUCUGACAGUGAGGGACGAAAGCCAGGGGAGCGAUCCGGAUUAGAUACCCGAGUAGUCCUGGCAGUAAACGCUGUGAGCAAGGCGUUGCACAUUCCUCGAGAAUGUGCAGUGUCGAAACGAAGGUGUUAAGCUCACCGCCUGGGAA
rnacentral:rRNA from 1 species